UAGGGAAUCUUCGGCAAUGGACGAAAGUCUGACCGAGCAACGCCGCGUGAGUGAAGAAGGUUUUCGGAUCGUAAAACUCUGUUGUUAGAGAAGAACAAGGACGUUAGUAACUGAACGUCCCCUGACGGUAUCUAACCAGAAAGCCACGGCUAACUACGUGCCAGUAGCCGCGGUAAUACGUAGGUGGCAAGCGUUGUCCGGAUUUAUUGGGCGUAAAGCGAGCGCAGGCGGUUUCUUAAGUCUGAUGUGAAAGCCCCCGGCUCAACCGGGGAGGGUCAUUGGAAACUGGGAGACUUGAGUGCAGAAGAGGAGAGUGGAAUUCCAUGUGUAGCGGUGAAAUGCGUGGAUAUAUGGAGGCACACCAGUGGCGAAGGCGGCUCUCUGGUCUGUAACUGACGCUGAGGCUCGAAAGCGUGGGGAGCAAACAGG
rnacentral:rRNA from 1 species